rnacentral:rRNA from 1 species
UUGAACGCUGGCGGCAGGCCUAACACAUGCAAGUCGAGCGCGAAAGGUUUUCGGACUGAGUAAAGCGGCGGACGGGUGAGUAACGCGUGGGAAUCUGCCCAGUAGUGGGGGACAACAGUCGGAAACGACUGCUAAUACCGCAUACGCCCUACGGGGGAAAGGGGGGGAUCUUCGGACCUCUCGCUAUUGGAUGAGCCCGCGUCGGAUUAGCUAGUUGGUAGGGUAAAGGCCUACCAAGGCUACGAUCCGUAACUGGUCUGAGAGGAUGAUCAGUCACUCUGGAACUGAGACACGGUCCAGACUCCUACGGGAGGCAGCAGUGGGGAAUAUUGGACAAUGGGGGCAACCCUGAUCCAGCCAUGCCGCGUGUGUGAAGAAGGCCUUAGGGUUGUAAAGCACUUUCAGUGGGGAGAAAGGUUUGUCACCUAAUACGUGAUGAAAUUGAUGUUACACACAGAAGAAGCACCGGCUAACUCCGUGCCAGCAGCCGCGGUAA